rnacentral:rRNA from 1 species
UAGGGAAUCUUCGGCAAUGGGGGGAACCCUGACCGAGCAACGCUGCGUGAGUGAAGAAGGUUUUCGGAUCGUAAAGCUCUGUUGUUAAGGAAGAACGAGUGUGAGAAUGGAAAGUUCAUACUGUGACGGUACUUAACCAGAAAGGGACGGCUAACUACGUGCCAGCAGCCGCGGUAAUACGUAGGUCCCGAGCGUUGUCCGGAUUUAUUGGGCGUAAAGCGAGCGCAGGCGGUUAGAAAAGUCUGAAGUGAAAGUCAGUGGCUCAACCAUAGGAGUCUUUGGAAUCUGUUUAACUUGAGUGCAGAAAGUGAGAGUGGAAUUCCAUGUGUAGCGGUGAAAUGCGUAGAUAUAUGGAGGAACACCGGUGGCGAAAGCGGCUCUCUGGUCUGUAACUGACGCUGAGGCUCGAAAGCGUGGGGAGCGAACAGG